rnacentral:rRNA from 1 species
AGGGCACCACCAGGAGUGGAGCCUGCGGCUUAAUUUGACUCAACACGGGAAAACUCACCCGGCCCGGACACUGGAAGGAUUGACAGAUUGAGAGCUCUUUCUUGAUUCAGUGGGUGGUGGUGCAUGGCCGUUCUUAGUUGGUGGAAUGAUUUGUCUGGUUAAUUCCGAUAACGAACGAGACUCUAGCCUACUAAAUAGAUCGUCGGCUUACAAACGCCGGCGAGACUUCUUAGAGGGACAGGCGGUGAUUCAACCGCACGAAACAGAGCAAUAACAGGUCUGUGAUGCCCUUAGAUGUCCGGGGCCGCACGCGCGCUACACUGAAGUGAUCAGCGUGCUUUUUCAACCUACUCUGUCAAGAGUGGGGAACCCAAUGAACCUUCUUCGUGAUUGGGAUAGGGGAUUGUAAUUAUUCCCCUUGAACGAGGAAUUCCCAGUAAGCGCGAGUCAUAAGCUCGCGUUGAUUACGUCCCUGCCCUUUGUACACACCGCCCGUCGCUACUACCGAUUGAAUGUUUU